AGCAGCCGCGGUAAUUCCAGCUCCAAUAGCGUAUAUUAAAGUUGUUGCAGUUAAAAAGCUCGUAGUUGAAUUUCGGGAUUGACGUGACGGUCAUGCCUUAAGGGGUAUGAACUGUUACAGUUGAUUUCUCACCUUCUGGAGAAACUUGAUGUCCUUUAUUGGGUGUCUUGCGGAUCCAGGACCUUUACCUUGAAAAAUUAGAGUGUUUAAAGCAGGCAUUUUUGCUCGAAUACAUUAGCAUGGAAUAAUAGAAUAGGACGGCAUGGUUCUAUUUUGUUGGUUUCUAGGAUCACCGUAAUGAUUAAUAGGGAUAGUUGGGGGCAUUAGUAUUCAAUUGUCAGAGGUGAAAUUCUUGGAUUUAUUGAAGACUAACUACUGCGAAAGCAUUUGCCAAGGAUGUUUUCAUUAAUCAAGAACGAAAGUUAGGGGAUCGAAGACGAUCAGAUACCGUCGUAGUCUUAACCAUAAACUAUGCCGACUAGGAAUCAGACGAUGUUAAUUUUUAAUGACUCGUUU
rnacentral:rRNA from 1 species